UCCAGAUCUGUUUCUGAUCAAGAAGGCAAUCCAAUCCAUCAUCCAAAUCCGAGUCACUGAUCCAUGGAUCUGAAUGAAGAUAUCUGGUUCCUUGUUCUGACAAAGACCGGGAGGAACUACAUCUCCCUCCUCGUCCAUGAUCCCCAGGUAUAACACAUCAGCAGCAUACAUUGCCUUCAUCUUUCCUGGUUCUCCCAUUGAUUCCUACUUUUCUAACUACCACAAAUUUCUCCCACUUGUGACGAUCAUAGGCAGGAAAGAUAUCAACAGAUGAAAAUCAUUAAUGCACGGUCGACAUUCAUGCAGUAACAAGAACAGAUCAUCAAGAGGUUUGGAUGGGGACGGCUUGCCUUAGGGGUGGAUAG
rnacentral:lncRNA from 1 species